CACGUCGGCCCGUGCCAGCCAGCGUGGCAUAGUCUCGCACGUGGCAGCCUGGUUAAGACCGCACCGAGCCGAGCCGGACGCGCGACGCGGCCAGCCGCUGCAUUCGUCGUAGGCGAGACGGAGCAGAGGCGGCCAGGGGAACAUGCGAGGCGGCGGCCGGUGGCCGGCAGCCAGCGAUGAGCGGUAGCAAGCGGCCAUCAGAGCAACGGUGCAAAGCGCGACGACGCGAAUCGCGAGUUGAUGUCGCACAGUUGUGCCACGGCGGUGCGAGGCAGCGGCCGGCCGCCGGCGGCCGGCAACCAGCGAUGAGCGGCAGCAAGCUGCCAGCAGCGCAACGGUGCAAGGCGGCAAGCUGCGCGAGGGCGCCGGCGCGAAUCUCGCAAGCAGGACAGAUUGAUGUCCCACAGGUUGAGCAGAAACAAGUAUUGUGGACUCUUUGCAUUGGACAUACAGAAGAAACGGGGUGAAAACUGGGUGCAAGAUAGCACAAAAAAAUGAAGGAUAAGCUGAAUUCCAAGAGGAAGAAUUAUUGUCUAUGAAGAGUGGCAUGAUUACUGGGACUUGCAAUCCCAAGAUAGAUCCUUUUUUGCUGUGAGAAUGAUGUCAACUGUCGAGGUUAUGCAGAUAUGGAUGUCAUGAUUCAGUAGAUGUAGGUGCCAUGGUUCAAUGUCUAUAUAUCUUAUAGCUCUGCAGAUGCAACACAUGUUCUGAACAAGCUUGUUAUGUAUGUGCUCAACACCAAAUCAAUAAAAAAAGAUGGCUUGUGUUUUCUGAACUAAUAAAAAAGAUGGCUUGUGUUGAGAUGACACAAAUAUCAUGGCAA